GACGAACGCUGGCGGCGUGCCUAAUACAUGCAAGUAGAACGAGUUGCGAACGGGUGAGUAACGCGUGGUAACCUGCCUCAUAGCGGGGGAUAACUAUUUGAAACUAUAGCUAAUACCGCAUACUGUGAGAUUAACCUGCGUUGCAUUAGCUUGUUGGUGAGGUAGAGGCUCACCAAGCCGCCGAGCCCUAGCUGGUCUGAGAGGAGGACCAGCCACACUGGAACUGAGACACGGUCCAGACUCCUACGGGAGGCAGCAGUGGGGAAUAUUGCACAAUGGGCGCAAGCCUGAUGCAGCCAUGCCGCGUGUAUGAAGAAGGCCUUCGGGUUGUAAAGUACGUUCAGCGAGGAGGCGUUACUCGCAGAAGAAGCACCGGCUAACUCCGUGCCAGCAGCCGCGGUAAUUC
rnacentral:rRNA from 1 species